CCUACGGGCGGCAGCAGUCGAGAAUCAUUCACAAUGGGGGAAACCCUGAUGGUGCGACGCCGCGUGGGGGAAUGAAGGUCUUCGGAUUUUAAACCCCUGUCAUGUGGGAGCAAAUUAAAAAGAUAGCACCACAAUAGGAAGAGACGGCUAACUCUGUGCCAGCAGCCGCGGUAAUACGGAGGUCUCAAGCGUUGUGCGGAAUUACUGGGCGUAAAGCGUGCGUAGGCUGUUUCGUAAGUCGUGUGUGAAAGGCGCGGGCUCAACCCGCGGACGGCAUAUGAUACUGCGAGACUAGAGUGAUGGAGGGGGAACCGGAAUUCUCGGUGUAGCAGUGAAAUGCGUAGAUAUCGAGAGGAACACUAGUGGCGAAGGCGGGUUCCUGGACAUUAACUGACGCUGAGGCACGAAGGCCAGGGGAGCGAAAGGGAUUAGAUACCCGAGUAGUC
rnacentral:rRNA from 1 species